GUACGAGUUCAGUGGAGGAGACCGCAAGUUGAGUGGAGGAGGCGGCGGUGGGGCCCCGGACCAGGUGCCUCCAUGGCAGGCUCUGAAGAGCUGGGGCUCCGGGAAGACACGCUGAGGGUCCUAGCUGCCUUCCUUAGGCGUGGUGAGGCUGCCGGGUCUCCUGUUCCAACUCCACCUAGAAGCCCUGCCCAAGAAGAGCCAACAGACUUCCUGAGCCGCCUUCGAAGAUGUCUUCCCUGCUCCCUGGGGCGAGGAGCAGCCCCCUCUGAGUCCCCUCGGCCUUGCUCUCUGCCCAUCCGCCCCUGCUAUGGUUUAGAGCCUGGCCCAGCUACUCCAGACUUCUAUGCUUUGGUGGCCCAGCGGCUGGAACAGCUGGUCCAAGAGCAGCUGAAAUCUCCGCCCAGCCCAGAG
rnacentral:circRNA from 1 species